UGUCUUCGAGUAAAAUUCAGGCCAGUCCAAAUACAAACGCAACCCUCCCCUGCAACAUGACGCUCUCUGCUGAGGGGGACAACAUAAACCAGUCUCUGAUCGCAGUCAGCUGGGUUAAAAAUGGCUCUGAAAUCGCCUCGUUUGGAAAAGCAGCAACACAAAUAAAGGAAGGCUUCAGCUGGGACAACGCUGACUUCGUCAAUGGGGACUUCUCGCUGGUCGUCCUCAAAGCCAGUCUUGACCUGCAGGGGAUGUAUGAAUGCACCAUCAGCUACAACUUCACUAUUCUUCACUAUAGUAAUGUUACAUUUACUAUCGUCGCAUCACCCACUCUCUCAGUUCCUCAUCAGUGGGUGGUGCUGGAAACUAAGACCCAGCUUAAAUGCCAUGUAGACAGUUUCUACCCUCCUCCUGUCUCUUUUUCCUGGACCAAAGCGGGGGAAGUGAUUCAACCUCCCUACCAGGUUGACCAUGUUUUGAAUGUGCAAUUCACAAGAUCAUAAUGAAGUAACGCAAUGCUUUGACUAAAAACAGGUACCAGAGAAAAAACUCUGGCUGCCUAAGAAAAAGAUUGCUUUAAUUAUUUUCUUUCUGGCAGUCCUUCUAUGAAUCAUCUGAUACAUUUCUCUCUCUGCUUCCUCUUAGAUGAGGCCCCAGUGCUGAAUAACUCGGCCAAAGCAGCCGUGGCUAUGAUGUGCAUCUCUAUAGUGCUGGUCUUCCUGCUUUGCUUUGGCUUUUCUUGGAGGAGAAGAGAUGAGAAACAGAAAUCUCUCAGCGUGUCGGGGAUCAUCCUCCCUCCCCGAGUGAUAGUAGGUCAAAAGGGGAGGGUGUCGCUGAGCAUUGAAGGCAGGAGGGUGGACCGGGUGCAGACCGCAUGGUUCCUCAAUGACACCCCUAUUUUUGACACCUCACUCGCAGUGUCAGAGAAAGGUCCUCUGCUGCUCUCCAGAGGUGAAAUGGGUUACUACAAGCUGCACACUCAAGGGCCGCUGUACUCGUCCAAAAACGGCACUCAACAGCUGAUCUCCUCGCUCACCUUCAUCCCCCAGAUUUCAGUUCACAAGGGUGCUGUGUUUAAGUGCCAGGUGUCCUACAUAGGCAAGGACAAGAUCGUGGAGGAGAGGGUGUCGGAGAAGUUCACUGUUCUGUCUCCUCCUGAUGUGUCAGAAAUACAGCUGGCAGAAACACAAAGAGACAAAGAUGUCAUCAGCCUGACAGUCCGAGCGUCACAUUUCCAUCCAGACAUCAUCACUUUCCGCUGGUUUUGCCAGGGUGGCGAGCUCAGCCCCGUGGCGUCCCAGGCCUCGUCCUCCCCUCAGCCCAAUUCAGAGGGAUUCUUUUCAGCCUACAGCCAGUGUAAACUUCCCUGCGCUGAACUGGAGAAAGGAGCAAUGAAAGUGUGGGUCAGUGUCCACCACAUUGCCCUGAAGCAGCCCAUCACCCGGGAGACCAGAGGAUUCAUCAGGAGGCCGUGCAUGUCUGAAAUUGUCAGCUCCACCGUUUUCAAGGUCAAACUCUGGGAUGUGAAAUCACAGAUUUCUACCCUCCAAACAUUUCAGUGA
rnacentral:lncRNA from 1 species